rnacentral:tRNA from 1 species
GGAGAGGUGGCCGAGUGGUCGAAGGCGCACGCUUGGAAAGCGUGUAAGCGGCAAAACCGCUUCGGGGGUUCGAAUCCCUUCCUCUCCG